AGUGCUCGGAGGCUGGUUUGCUCGGUUGAGCACUUGAAUUCUGGCCGUCUGAUUGGGUUGGAUCACGCCCGCGUCCCGCGUCUGUUCCAGAGAGAUUUCCACCUGAGCGACCCACUUCUCCUUCGUCCCGUUCCCCAUUCCCCUUCGAUGACCGACCUAGGCUGCAGCCGGCGGCAUGCCGCUACGCCGCUCGCGUUCGCAACCGGUCGGCUCCUCUUCUUCCUCAAGCCAACCCAUCUGCUCUCCUCCCACGCACCUCCAUCGUCUCACUGCCUGACUGCCCCCACCCGUAGGGCACCCUCCGCCCCAUCGCGCCCUUGCCCUCCGACGGCGAGGACUUGGGCGCCGCUGGGGACGCCGCUUCCUCCGGGAGGAGCCACAGCCAGAAGAUGCGGGAGGCCAGCCGCGUCUGUAGUGGGGCAUGGAUCUGGGUUCCAUGGCUGUCGCUCCCCUAGUUUCUGUCGAUGUUCCCCUUAUCCCCUAGGCUUCCGCCGUUGCGCCCCCGAGCUUCUAGCGGCGACGCCCCCUUAUGCUCCCAUGAGCGCCUUCCAUGUAAUGGCGACUCUGGCGGAGGCAACUACGCCUAGCACAGGAGCCAAUUGAAUCUGAACAUCACUAGUCAACAACCAUCUUCAGGCUCGGCUGAAGGCAAUCAGGGAUGGCUUUUACAAGAGGAGAAUGACUAGAUCAUGUGCUCGUGCGUAACAGAGCUAAGCUGUGCAUUAAAGAAAUUUUUCUUUCUGUUUGCUCACCUGGUGAUGAGGUAAAGUUAUGAUCUAUUUAUACCGCAAUUUUUAGGAGAAGUAUGUUUUGUACUUGCUUACGUUAAUUUUAUAUAUCCAUGAAAGUAGCAGCACCAAAUGCUUGAUUUUUGUUUUGAAUUGCAAAUAUUUAAAGCUUAAUCUGGAGCAAACAAGCCUCAUAGUUAUAGCAUCUUAUUAUUCUUACCUCUAAAAUCUAGCGCUGCUAAGUUCAUUGAUGGCAGCUAAUUAAUCGGAUGAGGUGUAGAUAGAUUCUUUCUGGAAUGUGUGCUGGAGCAAACAAGCCUCAUAGUUAUAGCAUCUUAUUAUUCUUACCUCUAGAAUCUAGCGCUGCUAAGUUCAUUGAUGGCAGCUAAUUAAUCGGAUGAGGUGUAGAUAGAUUCUUUCUGGAAUGUGUGCGCCAUGCACCUAACUGCACAUCUAGGCUGGUUAUGCUCGUCCUGAUUCUGCUUCUCAAGUUAAUUGAUCAUGUAUGCAAUGUCUGUUCCCACUUGCAUGUAGCAAGAAAAGGAUCAGCCACCAGGUAUCCAUACAAUACGUAUAUAUACUCGAUCAAUUGUCUCCAAUUUAUCAUGAUAGUUAGGUUGGUCAAGUUGCUUUGUAGAUUUUAUUUAAGUUCAUUUUUACAUAUAACUAAGUUUUCUUGCCACUUAAAUUGCUUCAACCAUUUUAGCUAAGCUGGUUAUAUAGCCGUUUUAUAUGUUCUUUGCACACUAGUUAUAUAAUUAAGAUAUUGUAUGCCAUCAUAGUUAAAUUGAUUUCAGUAUAGAUAAUUUGUUCUUUCAGCAUAGACAAGUUGUUUUUGUCUACAUAACAAAGUGGCUUUUUGGAGUGUGUUUCUAAGAUUAUUUUGGUAUAGAAAUGAAUUGUUUUGUCUCCAUUGCUAAAUUACUACUAACUAAGUUUAUUUACAUAGUUUUGGGGAGUUUUAGUGUUAAAAACUUAGUUUUUGUGGACUGAGGCUUAAUUAAGAUUUUGUUUUUGUUAUCAUAGUUAAGUUGUUUUUAGCAUGCAAUUAAAUUGUUUUUGCAGUUAAUAUGAGUUGUUAUUAUCUACAUAAUUGUGUAUUUUGCAUUCAUGUUUACAUACAACUAACUUGUUUUGUUUCCAUAGGUAAAAUGACACCAUCUUAAGUAAGUUGGUUUCAUAGCUUGUCUUUAGGGGUUAGUUUUAGACCCUGAUUUUUCGUGGGGUGUGGGGGGCUAAUAUAAGGUGAUGUUGUUUGUCACAUUUAAUUAAGUUAUUUUUUAGGUUACAGUUAAGUUCGUUUUGAACAUAAUUAAAUUGUUUUAUCAACAUGCCUUAGCGUUAUUUAACUAAGUUGUAUUUUUAACCUAACCAAGUUGUACAAGCAAUGUCCGAAGUUGCAUAGUGAUUUAAUUAAGUUUCUUUUAUCAAUAUGCUUUAGUUGUUUCCAUCAUCUAACUAAGUUGUAUUUUAUCACCUAACCAGUUGUACAAGAAAUGCCGUAAGUUGCAUAGUGGUUUAGUAAAGUUGCUUCAUUAACAUGUUUUAGUUAUUUCCAUCAUCUAACUAAGAUGUGUUUUAUUACCCAACCAAGUUGGUGUAUAUGCAAUGUCUUAAGUUGCAUAGUAGAUUUAAUUAAGUUGAUUUUAUCAACAUGCUUAACUUGUUUCCGUCUUAUAACUAAGUUGUAUUUCAUCACCUAAUCAAUUUGUUGUACAAUCAAUGUUCUAAGUUGCUUCAUCAACAUGCUUUAGUUGUUUCCAUCAUCUAACUAAGAUGUGUUUUAUUACCUAUCCAAGUUGGUGUAUAUGCAAUGUCGUAAGUUGCGUAGUAGAUUUAAUUAAGUUGCUUUUAUCAACAUCCUUAACUUGUUUCCGUCGUCUAACUAAGUUGUAUUUCAUCACCUAAUCAAUUUGUUGUACAAGCAAUGUCCUAAGUUGCAUAGUGAUUUAAUAAAGUUGCAUUAUCAACAUGCUUAGUUGUUUCCAUCAUUAACUAAGUUGUGUUUUAAUAUUUAACCUUGGUGUACAAGCAAUGUCUUAAAUUGCAUAGUGACUUCAUUAAGCACAUGCAGCGUUGCUAGGCAGAAUCAUGCAUGCCUUUGCGCCAAUGGAUAUUGCUAAAUCAAACCAACUCACAGCCACCCACUCAUCUUCUUAACAUUUGUUACGUGUUGAAUGAAAUGCUGAUAUUUCUUGAUAGCAAAUUGGAUGUUUUUGUCUGAAAGUAGGUGCGCUUGAACAUAUAAAUUCCUGUGAAGUAUUAUUAGUAGUACCUAACAAUUCUCCUCAACAUCCAGAGAGUUGUCUAAUUUUGGUGCUAACUUGCAUACUAGGUGUUGUUUAAGUUGCUCCACACUGAGCCUCUCAAAGAUCUGAAUGUUCUUUUGCUAAGUUGCUUUUCCAUACAAUACUUUCUUUCAGACAUUAGCUAAGUUAAUUACACAUUCGUAUUUUCCCAACAUCAGAAUGAGCAUGUUUCGAUCCUCAAUUUCGGUUGCACCUCACCGUCAUGAUCGUACAUGAUUGCACAUCCAAAUAUAAUCAUCUUUAAAUAUUCAUGUUGCUAGACUAAUGAGCAACUUAUGCAACUUAUGUAGCGAAGUUAGCAAACCUACUUGGUUUUGGGCCAUGGUAGGCAACGACUUCAUAGAAGAAAGAAAACAACUUUUAGUGGCAAAUAAAAGUAGAACUGUACUAAAUUUUGCUAUUUGUUUCCGCAGGUUCUAGAACGCAACAAAUGUAGAGGCAAUCGACAAGCAAUAUUAUUUCUAUGCAUAAAGAAACUUCUGCUUUCCUAGUAGUACUGAGGAUUCUUAGUUUGCUUUCUUUCAGGAUGUUGAGCGAAGAAAAAAAAAACAUCAAAUUGUGGAAGUAGGUACAAUAUGGAGCAAACUCCAGUUCCAGGAUGUCCUAUGUUGUAUUCACCUAAUUAUUGCUUCUAUGGUCUCCUUAAAGAAAAUCAGGAAACAAGUAUUGAAAGUCUUAUUAUGAUCCAGGCAGCACUCAUCAAGAGAUAGCAGUUUGUUA